rnacentral:rRNA from 1 species
GAUUUAUUUAUUAAGUACAUGUUAACGUUGUAAAGUUAUAUGGUGAUUGAUGAAUGGUAAUGAAAUGUUAGUCGUUUUUUAGGAUAGCUAGUUUAUUGGUAGAGGCAUUUAAGUGCUAUAGUAUUAGUAUAAUAUACAUAUAUAUAUAUAUAUUUUAAUGCUAGUUUAUUAUAUAGGGGAUAAGCUCUAUAUAGAUUUAUAGAAUUUUUUUAUUAUUUAUUAUAUUUAAAGUAGGGUUAAUAUGUUUUUCUUUAAGAUGUUAGGUAGUAUAUAAAUUAAUAUUCAAUAGGAAGCUAAUAAAUAAUUAUUAAUUUGACUAGUUAAAUAUAAUGUUAAUAUGAGUAUUAGAUAUUUAUUAAAUUUAUAUAGAUAAAAUUGUAAUGAUUUAUAUUAUAAUAAAAUAAUGAAAUAAAAUAAAGGAAUUCGGCAAAUAAUAAUCUCGCCUGUUUAUCAAAAACAUGUCUCCUUGUGGAAAAUAAAUAAGGAG